rnacentral:rRNA from 1 species
UACGUAGGGGGGCAAGCGUUUGUCCGGAUUUAUUGGGCGUAAAGAGCGUGUAGGCGGUUUGGUAGGUCCGCUGUGAAAACUCGAGGCUCAACCUCGAGACGCCGGUGGAAACCAUCAGACUAGAGUCCGGAAGAGGAGAGUGGAAUUCCUGGUGUAGCGGUGAAAUGCGCAGAUAUCAGGAAGAACACCCGUGGCUAAGGCGGCUCUCUAGUACGGUACUGACGCUGAGACGCGAAAAGCGUUGGGGGAGCGAACAGG